CAAGAAUAUCUUCUGGAAAUUGGAUGUUAAUGAAAAAUCAGGACAUCCCUGCUGGUUCAGUAGACUGUGGAAUAGACCUGUUGAUGGUAUUUGAAUAUGAACUGAGUGCAGGCUGACUGUGUGGCUGCAGUAGGUCAGCUAACUCGAGAACAAGGGGCUCAGGUUUAUGAGGCUGUAGAGAUCAGCAGGGCCUCCAGGAGGACUCCGCAUGAAAAACUGUUGGAGUUCAUCAUAAAGGGCCAUGGAGCAGAUGAACACUUGCUGGCUGUUGUAUCUGAACAGGUGUCAUCCAAAUGGUUUAAAAAUAAUGAAGAUCCUAAAGGCUACCAUGUAAUGGCCUCUAUACAGUAGAAGAUGAGAAGCUGACAGAUGGCCUCUACAACUACCUGAUGAAGUGCUGUAGGCACUUUUGAAAAGAUAGUCAGAGUUCAUUCAUUCUGGAUGUGCUGAUGCCGGAGGCUCAUUUGACUACAAAGAGUGUCUCUGUGAGUAAGAAGCAGAGGGUCUGCACAUUGAUGGACCAGCAGAUGCUGAGUGGGACAUCAUGUGCUGUCGGGGAGCAGACAGUCCUUUCUUUUUAUUUUCAGCACCAUUAUUCAGUUAAUCAGAAUACCAUUUUACUUGUAGUGAAUUUAGACAAGAAUAUAAAACUAAAUACCUAUAAAUGUAAAUAUAUGUUUAAAGUGAAAUUUAAAAUAUGCAUUAAUACACUUUUAGUAUUGGUAAAAGUUUUGUUUUUUUUAAGGUGAACAAAGAGUUUGACAAAAUUGUGCUUCAACUGUUGGAGUUUGAGGACUAACAGCAUCACUGAGGCAUCUAAUCUUGGGUUUCCAUCUUGACGCCUCCUCUAAUAAAUGUGUCACUUGCUA